rnacentral:rRNA from 1 species
CCGAAGCCUUAGCAGCCCGAAAGGGUGCAGUUCCGCGACUCAAAGAAAGGAGGACUGCUGAAAUGCUAGUCUGCAGAAGCAGGCAACACUAUCAAAUUGCGGGAACACCCUAAAGACCUCAACACCAAGCGUCAUGGGAAACCAUGGCGUGGCCGAGCUAAUAGCCCUGGGUAUGGUAACAGCUUGAGGUAUGAAGCCUUCGCAAGGAGGCCGAAAUGGGCAAUCCGCAGCCAAGUCCUAACGUGCUCGAAACCGAGUGCCAUGGAUGCUGUUCACAGGCCAAAUGGUAGUGGGUGACUCUUGCGAGUUGCUUAAGAUAUGGUCGGGCCCCUUCAGAAAUGUGGGGGAUAAGCUUACGCUUCUCCAAACCGUUCCGUAGGUGAACCUGCGGAAGGAUCAUU